ACCAUACAGUUUUGGAACAACUUGAGAGUGAGUAGUUAAUGACAGAAUUUGAAUUUUUGGUGAACUUUCCUUUUAAUUGCAGGUGAAAACUUUGCCAAGAAUGGAAAGCAGCAAGUUCAUGUCAAAUGACAAAGCUACAGUUAUCAUUCAAGUAAAUCCACAGGUGAAACAAAAUAAUGUUAUUUGUGAUGACGAGCAGCAGGCCAGAGGAGCAUAUCAAGAUACUGCUCUAAAAGGAUUUUUCAAAGCACAACCAAAGGCACUAGGGACUGUCCAGAUAAUGACUGGAGUGGUGAUUUUCUUGUUUGGUAUUGUAAACACCGCUAUCAGUACCUUUCUGCCAAUUUUAAUUUUUAGUGGCAUCACCUACUGGGGAUCCCUUAUUUACAUCAUUGCUGGCUCUCUGUCUGUUGCCGCGCAGAAUAAACUUCAUCUGUGUGUGGUAUGUAUAUAUAAUGUGCUGAAAAGUAGGGUAAAAUGACUUUGUGAUUUUAUUCUCAAACUCUUAAAAAUCAAAUAGCAACAAAAUCAACACAAUUUUUCUAUAUAUAGCUGUCGCUGCCUUAAUAUUUACAUAAUUUUGAAUGAAAACUAUAACAAGAACAACUGCUUUUUAUGUAACUUGUAUUUACAUGAGAACUAUAUUUAAAAAAAACAAACAUUUUUUUUGAUCAGCAUAUAUUUUGGGAUGAGUAAUAAAAACAAACAAACAAGUAAACAAACUAAAUUCUUAAGGGAGAUUUAAGCCACCCUAAUACAUUUGCGUAAACAGAAUAAAAUGCAACCACAAAACUUUCCAUGAUGAACUCUCUUUUACCACAGUAGUCUGAAACACUAGACCCUUUUACCACUAAAAGGAUGUGGACUAACAUUUUCAGUUUGCAUAGUUAAAAACUUUUGAAACCGUUUUACAUGUGUACACCAUUAUUAUAACUAUGUCACCUUUUAAGCAUUAAACUUUCUUCCUGUAGGUGAAAGCCUCUCUUGGAAUGAAUGUGAUCAGUGCCAUAACUGCAGCGACUGCCAUUACUAUAAUGGGCAUAGAAAUACUUUUUUUUUUAAUGCCGUAUCAAAGCUCUAUUUCAGUACGCCUA